AAAAAGAAAAGACAAUGGAACAUUGUUAAACUUCACGAUACGAAGCAGGAGUCGACAGUUCAAUGCCUACUUGUUGUUUCUGUCUCAAAAUUAUUCACACUUCAUAAACUUUCCACAUUUUGUCACGUUACAGGUGUCUGUGUUUUAAGUUAUUUGGGAGAUCAGCAAAUGGCCAUUUCACACCAUCAACUGGCAUGAAAGAAUGACAGCCAAACUCCAGCCGAGGAUUCUUCUGUAAAGCUGCCGGGCAACUUGUUAGGCAACACUUCCCUGCAUUUAGUGGCUGCCCCUCAUAGAGGAGCAGGUGAGAGACGCAUCACAGCGUUUAAACCGAUUUUAAACACUUUUUUCUUUUAAACACAAACAUCAGCGUAUUUUGUUUGAAUUUUAAUGAACAUAAUUGUCAAGUUUAAGCAGAAAGCAGAUCAGAUGUGGCAUUCUGAUAUUAUAAAACUCAGCCAAUUGCUUUCUUAUUUCUUGAUCUGUUAACAUGUAAUAAAUCCACUGCUAAAACACAAACUCUGACCAAGUAUUUUUGGUCUAGUUUUUUAGUACAUGAAGUAAGACAAAACUAACUUACUAGUAACGUUUCAGCAAGAUAUGAGCUUUUUAAAGUAAAUAAUUCCUUAAUAUUAAUUUUAAAAAAAGUACUACUUCCACUGACAGAUCAUACUUUUAACAAGAUAUUUUCCUGCCAGUCAAACUAAUACUUUUUUUUUAUAUCAAUGCUAAGGAAUUAUUAACUUAAAACGAUCUCCUCUGUUGUGUGUAAAAGUUACUUGUAACAGACAAAAUACACAUAAAAAGUUAAAACAAAGUACAGUACUAACUGGUGUAUCAAACCAGAAGUCAAGGACAUCAAAAGUACUGGCAAAAUAAAACACAUUCAGAUUUGCUAUAAAUAAAUAUAUAUAUAUAUGUUAUUCAGAAUUUAAUUUAAAUAACUGUAAAUAUCCACAUCUCUAAUGUGUAAAUCAAAAAGCUGAUUUAUUUCAAUAAUAUUAAAAGUUGGCCCCCAUAUGGAUUCCUUGCACAGAAUAUUAUAGAUUAUAUGACUAUUAUUUUCUUUCUUCAUUCAAAGGAAAAUCUCAAGGUACUCAGUGCGUCCAGCCGCAGCUGCACCAAUCCAUACUCUGUCACUUGUGAGCAUUUUAGAAUCACACAGAAAAGCUCCAUAUGGGAAUCAAACUUAAAACUCUGUGAACUAAGAACUUCUGAUCACAUAAUAGCAAUUAGCCAUAGCUGUCCUUACUGAUAACUAUUGUCAGUAGUCCCUAACAUUAAUAUGAUCAGGCAGCAUGCAAUCAUAUGUUACUCUGGACCCGUGAAGUAGCUCCCGGUCUCAAAGGUUGGUGACCCCUGUUCUACACAGUGAGUUCCUAAUUUAGUCACAGAGGGAAGAAAAGACAAUUCUUUGAUCUUUCAUGUUUUAAUUUCUUUCCAAACAUUUUGCAGUCAACACACACACUUACCACACUCAUACACACACAUACACAAAGUGCAGAUGUAAGACAAUGGCAUUUGCAGGGCACUGUCUUUGAGUCAUA